rnacentral:rRNA from 1 species
GUCUUAUUGAUUAUAAUUUUAAGUCUUACCUGCCCACUGAUUAAUUAAAUGGCCGCAGUAUUUUAACUGUGCUAAGGUAGCAUAAUCAUUAGUUUCUUAAUUAGAAGCUGGAAUGAAGGGUUUGAUGAAAAAGUAACUGUUUCUUUAUUAAUUGUUUUGAAUUUUAUUUUUAAGUAAAAAAGCUUAAAUAAAUUUAAGGGACGAGAAGACCCUAUAGAGUUUUAUAAUAAGGUUUUUAAUUUACUUUAGUAUUAAUUAUUUAAAAAUUUUAUUAUUUGGUUGGGGUGACAGAAAAAUUAAGGUAACUUUUUUAUUUUUAUUACAUUAAUUUAUGAUUUUUUGAUCCAUAAUAGUGAUUAAUAGAUAAAUUACCUUAGGGAUAACAGCGUAAUAUUUUUUUUGAGUUCUUAUUAAAAAAAAUGAUUGCGACCUCGAUGUUGGAUUAAGAUUAAUUUAUGGUGAAGUUGCUAUAAAAUUAGGUCUGUUCGACCUUUAAAUUCUUACA